CCUACGGGAGGCAGCAGUGAGGAAUUUUCCGCAAUGGGCUAACGCCUGACGGAGCAAUGCCGCGUGGAGGAGGAAGGCCUGUGGGUCGUAAACUCCUUUUCUCAGAGAAGAAGAUCUGACGGUAUCUGAGGAAUAAGCAUCGGCUAACUCUGUGCCAGCAGCCGCGGUAAUACAGGGGAUGCAAGCGUUAUCCGGAAUUAUUGGGCGUAAAGCGUCCUGAGGUGGCUUACCCAGUCGACUGUGAAAGCUCAAGGCUCAACCUUGAAACGGCAGUCGAAACUUGUAAGCUUGAGUACGGUAGAGGCAGAGGGAAUUCCCGGAGGAGAGGUGAAAUUCGUAGAUAUCGGGAGGAAGGCCAAAGGCGAAAGCACUCUGCUGGGCCGAUUACUGACACUGACAGACGAAAGCUAGGGGAGCGAAAGGGAUUAGAUACCCCUGUAGUCCUAGCCGUAAACGAUGGAUACUAAGUGUUGCGCGACUCAACUCGUGCAGUGCUGCAGCUAACGACGGUAAGGUAACGUCCCGCCGUCGGGGAGGUAGUGCGUCGCGAAGAGUAGAAACGUUAAAAGGUAAAGUUAGACGGCGUGAGACGUGCCGAACGGACGACGACGAACGGGGAAGGUUAGGG
rnacentral:rRNA from 1 species